AAGAAAUCGAAUGAAAUAAGGAAAGGGAAUUCGACUAGAGUCAAACUCGCUGGAGACCUCAAUGAACCUCGACUAUCUUGACUCGAACUCGGCUCGCAUUGUAUCCAUUGAAGCAGUAUGGAAGACCGCUCAUUGGGGUGAAGGACGACAACUUUUUGGAGGUUUUGGAAUGUUUCUUUUAGGGAUGCUUCUGAUUGUGUUUUUCGUGUUUUUGCGGUAGCAUUGAGGUUGUUUUUCAGCUGGAGUUAGGGACUGGUUCAUAGUUAGUUUUAAGCUCGUUUUGGGCGUGCUCAAGAUCCAGGUGAAGAAGAAGAAGCAACGACUAUUGCAGUUUGGAGAAGAUGAGCUCAAGGGUCCUUGGUUUCGGUCUGGUUGUUGGCUAGUCGAGCUCUGUUUUGCUGCUUCAUGUUUAUCGUGAAGAAGAUGAAAAAUGGCGGAGGUCCAUUUGGUUUUUGUUAAGGAGCAGCCAUGGUUAGGUUGUUCAAUCUUAGAAAAAUAGCCGCUUCCUUGUUUACUAAAGAAGAUGAUCCAACAUUAGGGGUGGGGGUCUGAUUUGGAGUUAUACAACUGAUUGGGU
rnacentral:lncRNA from 1 species